UACGAAGGGGGCUAGCGUUGCUCGGAAUCACUGGGCGUAAAGGGUGCGUAGGCGGGUCUUUAAGUCAGGGGUGAAAUCCUGGAGCUCAACUCCAGAACUGCCUUUGAUACUGAGGAUCUUGAGUUCGGGAGAGGUGAGUGGAACUGCGAGUGUAGAGGUGAAAUUCGUAGAUAUUCGCAAGAACACCAGUGGCGAAGGCGGCUCACUGGCCCGGAACUGACGCUGAGGUGCGAAAGCGUGGGGAGCAAACAGGG
rnacentral:rRNA from 1 species